UCUACGAGGAAGACGCUUCCUGGCCGGUGGCGUGCGACGCCAUUUGUACCUGUAGAAGGGAAGGAGACAUCUUCUACAUGAGCUGUGAAGAAAUGUGUCCCGACACGGCUUUACCCCCGGGAUGCUCCCUGGCGUACCUACCAACCAGGAGUAUGUCUCUGUCCAGAGACUGUUGUCCUAUUGUCACCUGCCCACAGGUACCGCCGCCGUUGCCCGAGGAUUGAAAACUGUGCGAGCUUGAAAGAAGAAUGGAAUCAAAAAU